CGUAGGUGGCAAGCGUUGUCCGGAUUUAUUGGGUUUAAAGGGUGCGUAGGCGGUUUCUAAGUCAGCAGUGAAAUACGGCAGCUCAACUGUCGAGGUGCUGUUGAUACUGGGGAACUUGAGUACUGAUGAGGUAGGCGGAAUGGACGGUGUAGCGGUGAAAUGCUUAGAGAUCGUCCAGAACACCGAUAGCGAAGGCAGCUUACUAAGGAGUAACUGACGCUGAGGCACGAAAGUGUGGGGAUCAAACAGGAUUAGAUACCCUGGUAGUCCACACUGUAAACGAUGAUUACUCGAUGUGUGCGAUACACGGCACGCGUCUUAGCAAAAGCGAUAAGUAAUCCACCUGGGGAGUACGCCGGCAACGGUG
rnacentral:rRNA from 1 species